UACGGGGGGGGCAAGCGUUGUUCGGAAUUACUGGGCGUAAAGGGCUCGUAGGUGGCCAACUAAGUCAGACGUGAAAUCCCUCAGCUUAACUGGGGAACGGCGUCUGAUACUGGAUGGCUUGAGAUUGGGAGAGGGAUGCGGAAUUCCAGGUGUAGCGGUGAAAUGCGUAGAUAUCUGGAGGAACACCGGUGGCGAAGGCGGCAUCCUGGACCAACACUGACACUGAGGAGCGAAAGCCAGGGGAGCAAACGGG
rnacentral:rRNA from 1 species